GACGUAGGGGGCGAGCGUUGUCCGGAAUUACUGGGCGUAAAGAGCUCGUAGGCGGCCUGUUAAGUCGGAUGUGAAAGCCCCCGGCUCAACCGGGGAAUUGCAUCCGAUACUGGCAGGCUAGAGUCUGGUAGAGGGAGGUGGAAUUCCCGGUGUAGCGGUGAAAUGCGCAGAUAUCGGGAGGAACACCGGUGGCGAARGCGGCCUCCUGGGCCAUGACUGACGCUGAGGAGCGAAAGCUGGGGGAGCGAACAGGAUUAGAUACCCUGGUAGUCCCAGCCGUAAACGAURGGCACUARGUGUGGGGGGUUACCAUACCCUCCGUGCCGAAGCUAACGCAUUAAGUGCCCCGCCUGGGGAGUACGGCCGCAAGGUUWAAACUCAAAGGAAUUGACGGGGGCCCGCACAAGCGGCGGAGCAUGUGGCUUAAUUCGACGCAACGCGAAGAACCUUACCAGGGCUUGACAUGCACGCGAAAGCCGUGGAAACACGGCCCUCCCUUCGGGGACGCGUGCACAGGUGGUGCAUGGCUGUCGUCAGCUCGUGUCGUGAGAUGUUGGGUUAAGUCCCGCAACGAGCGCAACCCYUGCCGCAUGUUGCCAGCGGGUAAUGCCGGGCAMUCAUGCGGGACUGCCGGUGUCAAACAGGAGGAAGGUGGGGAUGACGUCAAGUCAUCAUGCCCCUUAUGCCCUGGGCUGCACACGUGCUACAAUGGCCGGUACAAUGGGCUGCGAUGCCGCGAGGCGGAGCGAAUCCCAAAAAGCCGGUCUAAGUUCGGAUCGGAGGCUGCAACUCGCCUCCGUGAAGUCGGAGUCGCUAGUAAUCGCGGAUCAGCAAUGCCGCGGUGAAUACGUUCCCGGGCCUUGUACACACC
rnacentral:rRNA from 1 species